GUGCUCACUUCAGCAGCACGUGUACUAAAACUGGAACCAUGCAGAGAAGAUUAGCAUGGGCCCUGUGCAAGGAUGGCAUGCAAAUUCAUGAACCAUUCUGUAUUAAA